CUGUAUUUAGUUUUCUCCCUUUUUUCCUUUUUUUCACGAUCGGCUUGAGUUUUUGGGCGAAACGAUUUUUUACUUCUCUGGUAAUCUUUUCUCACGAGGAGAAGAAGUUCCUUACUGAUAUGGAUGGAGAUCAUGGAGUUGAAUUAGGUGAUGAAGAAGUUGAAAUUUGCAGUAGUGUAUUGGACGAUGGCAGUAACCAAAAUGAUCAAAUAAUUUGUUAGUCUAACUUUGAUGCCUAUUUGAUAGAACAAUGAAGAAAUCCGGAGUCAGCAAAGCUUGGUAAGUAAUGUUAAGUCGAAUAAGAGAAAAGCCAGUAAUAGAAAACAAAACGUAGAGACCAAUGGAGAAAUCUCGACUCAACAAAGUUGGGUGGGUACGUUUCAGUCUUCGUGCGGAGCCGAAACCAAUAAUCUUAAUAGAGGAGGGUACGGCCAGUUAUUGAACUUAGCUGAACUGCAAAGAGUCGAAAACAUACAAAAUACAGCGAGACAGUUUCGGGUACCACUAAUUUCAUCUUAUGGAAACACUGGAAGCACAAUAACUGCAUAUGGAGCACCUUACGAACAUUCUGGGAAUGUUUCACCUGCACAAGGAGUACUUUCGGGACAUGUUGAAAGUGUCUUGCCUGCAUUUGGUGUACCUCAACCAUGAAGAAAUCCCUAUUUGGCGAUUCCUGCACCAAUAUACGAGCAUAAUGUGAUUCCAUUGCAAGCAAACUUUAGCAAUGAAGGAUUUAUCAGAAAGCAAAAUUAGCUCUAUCUGGAAAUUAUGUAACUUGCAUUACUCUAUUUGCAGUCGAAUGUUACUUAUCCCUUUAAUAUGAGGGAUCAAUCAAACUCUUUGCUGCAUUUCUGUAACUGCUGCAGAAACUCAUCAAAUUACUUAUAUGGUUCUGCUUU